UACGUAGGCAGCGAGCGUUGUUCGGAGUUACUGGGCGUAAAGGGUGUGUAGGCGGUUGUUUAAGUUUGGUGUGAAAUCUCCCGGCUCAACUGGGAGGGUGCGCCGAAUACUGAAUGACUUGGAGUGCGGGAGAGGAAAGUGGAAUUCCUGGUGUAGCGGUGAAAUGCGUAGAUAUCGAGAGGAACACCGGCGGCGAAGGCGGCCAUCUGGACGAGGACUGACGCUGAGAUGCGAAAGCGUGGGGAGCAAACAGG
rnacentral:rRNA from 1 species